ACGAGUGGCGGACGGGUGAGUAAUGUCUGGGAAACUGCCUGAUGGAGGGGGAUAACUACUGGAAACGGUAGCUAAUACCGCAUAACGUCGCAAGACCAAAGAGGGGGACCUUCGGGCCUCUUGCCAUCGGAUGUGCCCAGAUGGGAUUAGCUUGUUGGUGGGGUAACGGCUCACCAAGGCGACGAUCCCUAGCUGGUCUGAGGGGAUGACCAGCCACACUGGAACUGAGACACGGUCCAGACUCCUACGGGAGGCAGCAUG
rnacentral:rRNA from 1 species